rnacentral:rRNA from 1 species
AGAGUUUGAUCCUGGCUCAGGACGAACGCUGGCGGCGUGCUUUAUACAUGCAAGUCGAACGAGAAAGCAUCCUUCGGGGUGUGAGUAAAGUGGCGAACGGGUGAGUAACACGUAGGUAACCUACCCACUGAUUGGGGAUAACAUGCCUAACGGCGUGCUAAUACCGAAUGUGGCACUGAGUUAGAAGAUUUAGUGUUAAAGGUUGUUUUCGGAUGACUGUCAGUGGCAGGGCCUGCGGCUCAUUAGUUAGUUGGUAGGGUAACGGCCUACCAAGGCGACGAUGGGUAGCCGGCCUGAGAGGGUGGUCGGCCACACUGGGACUGAGAUACGGCCCAGACUCCUACGGGAGGCAGCAGUAAGGAAUAUUGCGCAAUGGUCGCAAGACUGACGCAGCAACGCCGCGUGAGUGAUGACGCUCUAUGGAGUGUAAAGCUCUGUUAGGAGGGAAGAAGACAUUAUACUAAAAGGUAUAAUGGUGACGGUACCCCAAGAGAAAGCUCCGGCUAAUUAUGUGCCAGCAGCCGCGGUAAUACAUAAGGAGCAAGCGUUAUCCGGAAUUAUUGGGCGUAAAGAGCUCGUAGGCGGUCUUAAAAGUCAGGUGUGAAAUUAUCAGGCUCAACCUGAUAAGGUCAUCUGAAACUUUAAGACUUGAGGAUAGAAGAGGAGAGCGGAAUUCCUGGUGUAGCGGUGAAAUGCGUAGAUAUCAGGAGGAACACCGGUGGCGAAGGCGGCUCUCUGGUCUGAUACUGACGCUGAGGCGCGAAAGCGUGGGGAACAAACAGGAUUAGAUACCCUGGUAGUCCACGCCGUAAACGAUGGGCACUAGGUGUUGGGGGUAUCGAUCCCUCCAGUGCCGAAGCUAACGCAUUAAGUGCCCCGCCUGGGGAGUACGAUCGCAAGAUUGAAACUCAAAGGAAUUGACGGGGGCCCGCACAAGCGGUGGAGCAUGUGGUUUAAUUCGACGCAACGCGAAGAACCUUACCGGGGUUUGACAUACACCUGAAAACUGUAGAAAUACAGUCCUCCUUUAGGACAGGUGUACAGGUGCUGCAUGGCUGUCGUCAGCUCGUGUCGUGAGAUGUUGGGUUAAGUCCCGCAACGAGCGCAACCCUUGCCCUUAGUUGCCAUCAGGUUAUGCUGGGAACUCUAAGGGGACUGCCGGUGAUAAACCGGAGGAAGGUGGGGAUGACGUCAAGUCCUCAUGGCCCUUAUAUCCCGGGCUACACACGUGCUACAAUGGCCGGUACAGAGGGUUGCAAGACCGCGAGGUGGAGCUAAUCCCAGAAAGCCGGUCUCAGUUCGGAUUGGAGUCUGCAACUCGACUCCAUGAAGGUGGAAUCGCUAGUAAUCGCGGAUCAGCAUGCCGCGGUGAAUACGUUCCCGGGCCUUGUACACACCGCCCGUCAAGCGAUGAGAGUUGGGGGUGCCCGAAGUCGUUGUUCUAACCCUUUGGGAGGAACGCGCCGAAGGUAAACCCAACGAUUGGCGCUAAGUCGUAACAAGGUAACC